GACGAACGCUGGCGGCGUGCUUAACACAUGCAAGUCGAGCGGUAAGGCCCUUUCGGGGGUACACGAGCGGCGAACGGGUGAGUAACACGUGGGUGACCUGCCCUCAGCUCUGGGAUAAGCCUGGGAAACCGGGUCUAAUACUGGACAUGACUCCAUGACGCAUGCUGUGGGGUGGAAAGCCUUGUGCGGCUGAGGAUGGGCCCGCGGCCUAUCAGCUUGUUGGUGGGGUGAUGGCCUACCAAGGCGACGACGGGUAGCCGGCCUGAGAGGGCGACCGGCCACACUGGGACUGAGACACGGCCCAGACUCCUACGGGAGGCAGCAGUGGGGAAUCUUGCGCAAUGGGCGAAAGCCUGACGCAGCGACGCCGCGUGA
rnacentral:rRNA from 1 species